rnacentral:rRNA from 1 species
AACGAACGCUGGCGGCAGGCUUAACACAUGCAAGUCGAGCGCCCCGCAAGGGGAGCGGCAGACGGGUGAGUACCGCGUGGGAACGUACCUUUUGGUUCGGAACAACUCCGGGAAACUGGAGCUAAUACCGGAUAAGCCCUAACGGGGAAAGAUUUAUCGCCGAAAGAUCGGCCCGCGUCUGAUUAGCUAGUUGGUGAGGUAACGGCUCACCAAGGCGACGAUCAGUAGCUGGUCUGAGAGGAUGAUCAGCCACACUGGGACUGAGACACGGCCCAGACUCCUACGGGAGGCAGCAGUGGGGAAUAUUGGACAAUGGGCGCAAGCCUGAUCCAGCCAUGCCGCGUGAGUGAUGAAGGCCUUAGGGUUGUAAAGCUCUUUUGUCCGGGAAGGUAAUGACUGUACCGGAAGAAUAAGCCCCGGCUAACUUCGUG